rnacentral:snRNA from 1 species
GUGCUCCCUUGGGCAGCAUGUGUACUAAAAUUGGAAUGAUACAGAGAAGAUCAGCAUGGCCCCUGUACAAGGAUGACAUGUCAAUUCAUGAAACCAUCAGGCAUAAG